rnacentral:rRNA from 1 species
AUAGCGUAUAUUAAAGUUGUUGCAGUUAAAAAGCUCGUAGUUGAAGUUUGGUCUCGGACGCUGGGUCUGCUUAAUUGCAUGUACUUGACGGUCCGAGACUUCCUUCUUGGUGAACGGCCGCCUUCGGGUGGUCCGGAACCAGGACUAUUACUUUGAAAAAAUUAGAGUGUUCAAAGCAGGCCAUAGGCCCGAAUAUAUUAGCAUGGAAUAACAGAAUAGGACGUGCGGUUCUAUUUUGUUGGUUUCUAGAACUGCCGUAAUGAUUAAAAGGGACAGCCGGGGGCAUUAGUAUUUGCACGCUAGAGGUGAAAUUCUUGGAUUUAUGAAAGACGAACAACUG